rnacentral:rRNA from 1 species
UACAGAGGGUGCAAGCGUUGUCCGGAAUUAUUGGGCGUAAAGAGCGUGUAGGCGGUCCGGUAAGUCAGCUGUGAAAGUCAAGGGCUCAACCCUUGAAUGCCGGUUGAUACUGUCGGGCUAGAGUCCGGAAGAGGCGAGUGGAAUUCCCGGUGUAGCGGUGAAAUGCGCAGAUAUCGGGAGGAACACCAAUGGCGAAGGCAGCUCGCUGGGACGGUACUGACGCUGAGACGCGAAAGCGUGGGGAGCAAACAGG